UCCUCUCUCUUUAUUCCCUUUAAAAAAAAAUUUAUCUUUGUUUAUAAAAUUUCCAUUUCCAUGAUCAGGUUUAAUAUCAAGCAUAAAUAAAAGAUUUUUGACAUUCCACAUGUUCGAAUUUUCUCCCAAAAAUAUAUAAAGAAGGCUUUUUGAAGUACGAGAUCUCAUUUUCCAAAGCAUAUAAACUAAAACAGAAAAACCAAUUAGAAACAAACCUAAUUUUCAUUUGCAAAAAAAAAAAACCUAAAUUUAUAAAUAUUUAGAUGGUUCAUAUUUUUCCAUAACCAAUAAUAAUACUGAAUAAAAACUUUGAAUAUUGAAGGAAUUAAAUUAUUUUUUGAAAUUAUACAUGGUUAUUCUGGCUCCACAUAAGUGGUCCAGACUAGUCAUAUUUUGAAUGAAUUAAAUUUAAUAUGUGAAUUAUAUGCUUGAAUGUUAUUUAUAUUACAAAUAAAUUAGGAAAAAUAAUUGUAAAACACCAUUGUAUAAUCACACAAUUUGGACAAAGUAAUAUACUAAAUAUAUAUGAAUUUUCGUAAAAAAUAUUUAUUAUAGUUUACUCGUAAUGACUUUGUAAACACAACUUUUUUAUGAACUAAAAUUUCGACCAACAAAAUUUCUUUAAACAAAACUUCUUUGAGAAAUAGACUUUAACAAACAUCAAAAAGUGAAUAUAAAUAUAGCAAAAUUAAAAGCCAUUUUUACAUAUUAUUUUUCAUCUAAAUCUAUACUACUAAAGCAAAAUCCCUCUUAAAAUUUUGCCAAUAGUUUAAUAUUAUAAUUAUAAUUUUAUGCUAGAAUAUUCUGAUAUUCAUGAUGAGACCAGUUAAAAAUCAUUGAAACAAGAAAAGUAAAAAAUGGAAAAACACUCGAACCCAUUUAAACACGAGUCAUUUGCAUAGAAAAUAGUAAAUAAUAAGAAAAUUUGCAAGGAUGGAAAAACAAUAAAAUUAUAGAGAGAGAAAAGAGUAAAAUGACACUGUCACCCUUAUAGAAAGAGAAAGAUAAUUUAUAGCAUAUGAAUUAGUUUAGCCGGCUAACAUAUGUUUUGGUAUUCAUUUUUCUUGAUUUUAUUUCGGACAAAAUACAAGUACUAUAGUUUAUAUGUAAUUAAAUACGUUUAAAAUGCGAUUAUUUAUAUUUUUCGUAAAUUAACACGGCUAUAUUCUAAUUUAUCUGGAAAUUUACAUAUUUAACUGGUUAUUAUAUUAGUGAUCGGCUAAAUUUAAUAAUUAUCUGUAUAUUAGUAUUGUUAGUUGGAUUUUUCUAUCAGUAGCCGAUUAUCGUUAUAAAAUCAAACUUAAAUAAGUUAAGUCAGAUAUAUAAUUUAUCCGGAUAUCAUUAUUGUUGGCUGAAUUUUUUUAUCAAUGGUUGGCUAAAGGUAUAAUAACUUUCAAUCGAUGGUCGGCUAAAAGUAUAAAAAAUCACUAUUAUCCGUACAUUAUUAUUGUUAGUCUAGUAUGCUGCAAAUCAACUGAGACGCAGUGGCUGAUGCGCUCUAUCCACAAAAAUAUGGAUUUGGUACCAAAAGCAAAGUGGUUUGUGUAAUAAAGAUGAAGUACUUGACCGAGGGAGCUAGAGCAUACAGACAAAAAAAAACAAAGAAGGAGUAUCUACCUUGCAAUCACUCAUCAUCCUAUGAUUCUAAUUACACAAAGACGAAGAAGAAAAUAUGAAACUUAUACACAAAAGGCGAUAUCAGAAUCCAAAAAAAAAUAAAAAAAACCCAAAAAUCAAACUUUAUCAAGAAAACAAAAUCAAGAAGAGCCCUCAGAUCUCGUAGCAAUUAAAUCUGAUUAUUCACUGCUGGAUUCUGUUGUUGUUGUGAGAGAAAGCAUCGCGGUCAGGGUGAAAAUGGUGUGAUAAACAGUAAUUGCGGCCGUGAUCAGGGACGAUGAAGAUGGCUGCAGGAGCAGAUGAAACGAGGUUUGUUUGGGACAUGGUUCCUCAGCCCUGAGGGCAUCGCGAAGGCACGAGGUACGGAGCAAAUCAGUCAUUUGAGCUGGAAACUCCGCGAGCUUCUUGCGGUAAAAACGAGUGACGUGAGCUAGGAACAUGGCUCUAUUGCUAAGGUCUUUGGCGACAGAAGGGUCGGAACCGAUAGAAGGGUCAGAACCGACGAGGAAGGGGAGACCGAGCUUCUCGGAGCUCCGGCGUACGACCUAGAGGUCUGGACAUAGUCGAAGGUGUUCGUGAGAAGAUGGAGAGUGAGAAAGAAACAAAAGGUUGUUUUUACUUUCUCCUUUUGGUGUACUAAUUGGGCUACAGGUUUUAGUUAGGAGUAGGGACAGUUUCGCCAUUAUUAAAUGUGAAUAGUAGAAGUUCCAUCUUUUGUUUUUGUCGGGUUUAUUAUACUAUUAGAAACAAUGAGAAAUAUUACAUAGACGAUAUUACAA